CUGCGGACGCACACGCGCUGCGGCAGCUGACAGUUUCAGUAAACCACGGAGACGAACGGAUUACGGCUCUGGGAACAAAACGCAACGUUUGAUGAAAAUUUCUGGCAACACGUCUUGGUUGUUGUUAACCACGCAAAAAAAUUAAA